UCUAAUCUGUGGUGAGGCUCCUCCCUCUGGAAUUCUCCUCCUCAAAACCUUUGGAGGGAAAAUUCAAAUGGAACAGGACACAGGACAGAUACAAGAGCAGAGGACACACAGUGUGGAGCAGGAGGAUUAUGAGAGCUGAUCUGGAGAGUCGUCUACAAACACAGAGUGACGUCCAGAGCUCUGCUGGAGCUGUGGGGAAGUUCAUGAAUGUUACAGCUGAUGUUUCAGGAAAAAGGAAGAUGUUUGAAAACCAACAAAACACAGAGCACAGAUGAACAAAGGUGAUGUGGCAUUAGGAGGACUUUAUACCAGAUGCCCUACCUGUUACUGCAUUUAGAGGAAGAAAAGCAGCACACAGUGAGUUUUGUUUCUGCAGAUACACUUCUAAUGUUCUUGUGAUUC